GGACUACCGGGGUAUCUAAUCCCGUUCGCUCCCCUGGCUUUCGCGCCUCAGCGUCAGAAAGGGUCCAGCACCUCGCCUUCGCCACCGGAGUUCCAUUGGAUAUCAACGCAUUUCACCGCUCCACCCAAUGUUCCAGAUGCCCCUACCCUCCUCGAGGCCCGCAGUAUCCACGGCACUUCCCCAGUUAAGCUGGGGGCUUUCACCGCAGACUUGCAAACCCGCCUACGCGCCCUUUAAGCCCAGUGAUUCCGAACAACGUUCGCACGGUUCGUCUUACCGCGGCUGCUGGCAC
rnacentral:rRNA from 1 species